CAAGUCGAACGAACCUCCGGGUUAGUGGCGGACGGGUGAGUAACGCGUGAGAAUCUGCCCUCAGGAGGGGGAUAACGGCUGGAAACGGCCGCUAAUACCCCAUAUGCCGAGAGGUGAAAUGAAUUUUCGCCUGAGGAUGAGCUCGCGUCUGAUUAGCUAGUUGGUGGGGUAAGAGCCUACCAAGGCAUCGAUCAGUAGCUGGUCUGAGAGGAUGAUCAGCCACACUGGGACUGAGACACGGCCCAGACUCCUACGGGAGGCAGCAGUGGGGAAUUUUCCGCAAUGGGCGAAAGCCUGACGGAGCAACGCCGCGUGAGGGAUGAAGGCCUCUGGGCUGUAAACCUCUUUUAUCAAGGAAGAAGAUCUGACGGUACUUGAUGAAUAAGCCACGGCUAAUUCCGUGCCAGCAGCCGCGGUAAUACGGGAGUGGCAAGCGUUAUCCGGAAUUAUUGGGCGUAAAGCGUCCGCAGGCGGCCUUUUAAGUCUGUCGUCAAAGCGUGGAGCUUAACUCCAUUUAAGCGAUGGAAACUGGAAGGCUAGAGUGUGGUAGGGGCAGAGGGAAUUCCCGGUGUAGCGGUGAAACGCGUAGAUAUCGGGAAGAACACCAGUGGCGAAGGCGCUCUGCUGGGCCAUAACUGACGCUCAUGGACGAAAGCCAGGGGAGCGAAAGGGAUUAGAUACCCCUGUAGUCCUGGCCGUAAACGAUGAACACUAGGUGUCGGGGGAAUCGACCCCCUCGGUGUCGUAGCCAACGCGUUAAGUGUUCCGCCUGGGGAGUACGCACGCAAGUGUGAAACUCAAAGGAAUUGACGG
rnacentral:rRNA from 1 species